rnacentral:rRNA from 1 species
GAUGAACGCUGGCGGCGUGCCUAAUACAUGCAAGUCGAGCGAACGGACGAGAAGCUUGCUUCUCUGAUGUUAGCGGCGGACGGGUGAGUAACACGUGGAUAACCUACCUAUAAGACUGGGAUAACUUCGGGAAACCGUAGCUAAUACCGGAUAAUAUUUUGAACCGCAUGGUUCAAAAGUGAAAGACGGUCUUGCUGUCACUUAUAGAUGGAUCCGCGCUGCAUUAGCUAGUUGGUAAGGUAACGGCUUACCAAGGCAACGAUGCAUAGCCGACCUGAGAGGGUGAUGGGCCAAACUGGAACUGAGACACGGUCCAGACUCCUACGGGAGGCAGCAGUAGGGAAUCUUCCGCAAUGGGCGAAAGCCUGACGGAGCAACGCCGCGUGAGUGAUGAAGGUCUUCGGAUCGUAAAACUCUGUUAUUAGGGAAGAACAUAUGUGUAAGUAACUGUGCACAUCUUGACGGUACCUAAUCAGAAAGCCACGGCUAACUACGUG